rnacentral:rRNA from 1 species
UCAGUUCAGAUUGCAGGCUGCAACUCGCCUGCAUGAAGUUGGAAUUGCUAGUAAUCGCGGAUCAGCAUGCCGCGGUGAAUACGUUCCCGGGCCUUGUACACACCGCCCGUCACACCAUGAGAGCCGGGAACACCCGAAGUCCGUAGUCUAACCGUAAGGAGGACGCGGCCGAAGGUGGGUUUGGUAAUUGGGGUGAAGUCGUAACAAGGUACC